rnacentral:rRNA from 1 species
UACGAAGGGGGCUAGCGUUGCUCGGAAUCACUGGGCGUAAAGGGCGCGUAGGCGGCCAUUCAAGUCGGGGGUGAAAGCCUGUGGCUCAACCACAGAAUUGCCUUCGAUACUGGGCGUCUCGAGACCGGAAGAGGUGAGUGGAACUGCGAGUGUAGAGGUGAAAUUCGUAGAUAUUCGCAAGAACACCAGUGGCGAAGGCGGCUCACUGGUCCGGUUCUGACGCUGAGGCGCGAAAGCAUGGGGAGCAAACAGG